AACGAACGCUGGCGGCAUGCCUAACACAUGCAAGUCGAACGAGACCUUCGGGUCUAGUGGCGCACGGGUGCGUAACGCGUGGGAACCUGCCCUUAGGUUCGGAAGAACUCCCCGAAAGGGGUGCUAAUACCGGAUAAUGUCUUCGGACCAAAGAUUUAUUGCCUUUGGAUGGGCCCGCGUUGGAUUAGCUAGUUGGUAGGGUAAAAGCCUACCAAGGCGACGAUCCAUAGCUGGUCUGAGAGGAUGAUCAGCCACACUGGGACGGAGACACGGCCCAGACUCCUACGGGAUGCAGCAGUGGGGAAUAUUGGACAAUGGGCGAAAGCCUGAUCCAGCAAUGCCGCGUGAGUGAUGAAGGCCUUAGGGUUGUAAAGCUCUUUUACCCGGGAUGAUAAUGACAGUACCGGGAGAAUAAGCUCCGGCUAACUCCGUG
rnacentral:rRNA from 1 species